rnacentral:tRNA from 1 species
GCCGAUGUAGCUCAGUUGGUCAGAGCAGCUGAUUUGUAAUCUGCAGGUCGGGGGUUCGAAUCCCUUCAUCGGCUCCU